rnacentral:lncRNA from 1 species
CUCUCCUUCUUUCCUUCUCUGCAAAACUACUUCACCUCAUCCCAGAAUUCAAAAUUCAAAAUUUAAAAGUUAAACUCUCUCUCUCUCUCCCUCUUAUUUACCAUGAACGAACACACAAAUGCUAUGACUUUUCAUCUUCAUUUUAGAGUGAUCCAUGGUUGGAUGUUCUUCAAGAACAGGUUUGUAUGUCUCAUCAACAGUCAGAUCUGCAUCAAUGUUAGGUGUUUUCGGUAGAGAUGGAAUUCCACCACUGAUCGGUGCCUGAUUUGGUGGGGUUAAACCCGUACUGCGGCGACAUAUCAGAUUCCAGUCAAGCCUAGGGUUCCGGCGAGUACUUAGUUUGCAGAGAAUGGGAUAGCUGCCCACCGCACUCGGGGGUGACACCAGGAAUUCCGGCACUUGAACUACCCAACCUCAAGUUUGGAGGAAUGCGAGAUAAAGUUUGGACGUCUGAAGGUUUUCCGUAUCCAUACAAAGAAGAUGAAGCUUUCUGAUGAUCUUUCAGGUUUGGUCCUUCACCAACGGGUUUAUGAGGGUUCUUCAACUUUCGGUACGGAGGAAACACAAAGAAGAGGUUGAUACAGCCCGUAUACACAAGGUUCAAGUACAAAAUAAGAUAAACGGAGAAGCCGAAUAAUUUCGGCAGUGGAAAUCAUCACGUGAAAAAGAAGCUAAAUAAUGGAGGAGAAACGAGUAUGAAUGGCACAAAUUCCAGGUUCUUAAUCAAUCCAAAAAAUGAACCUUAGGUGUUUUAAAGGAUUAGAGAAGAGGCUCCACCUGCAACCCAAAAGUUAAAAGACUUGCUAGAAGCCUGGAAGUUUACAAGUACACAGGGAUAUAAUUUUUUUUGACCGAAUAACAUUUUCAGUCCAUGUGGUUCCAGCAACCAAUUUUUAAAGGACAGUGGCGAUAUUUUGUAAUUGAGAUAUGGUGUAUUACAUUGACUAGCAGUGGGGAUGGAGCAAAUGAACAUGUAUACAACUGAAUAUUAAAGGACAAUGGUGAUAUUUUGAUAUAUCCCGACGUUAUCAAAUGUAAUAUGUAAUUUUAUCAACCUAUCAUUAUAUGUGAAUCAUGGUUUUAUGUUCU